GAACGCAUAAUAAUCUGGCCACUCAGUGUAUGUCUUUAUUGGUCAUUCAAGUAGGGCAAAGGAAAUAUCCUUUUAAAACUCAAGCAAACUGGGUGUUUGUCUUGUAUCCUGUCAGAGGAAAAAAAU